rnacentral:misc_RNA from 1 species
GGGAACAACUCUGCAACGCUAAAGCCUUCCAUCAUUUUAAGAGCUUCCUUAGCAAGUGGUAUGAACGUUUCUUGGUCUUUGCAUUUCUUGCCAAAGGCUGCUCUUGCAAUAACAGAACAAGAUGAAGAAAACAACAUUUUGCUAAGGUUGACAGGAGAUCCUGCACUGGAAGAUAUAGAUUUAACGAGAUUUGAUACCUCUUCUUCUCUG